ensembl:misc_RNA Gm27985 predicted gene, 27985
AGGGAGUCCUUUCUCUCCUGACUUUAGCGGUCCUGGGUAAAUAUUGAUUUGCCCCGAGUUUACCUUCUUACUGCCUGACCAUUUGCAGACUAAAGAACCAACCUCUGUGAAGACUUGAUUUCUGUGUUACUUUGGAGCCCUUUUCAUCCGUCCCCCCACUCCUUCCUCCCUCUAAGUGGCAUUGUAAAACUCAACAGUGACAAAGAGACGAAGUACGGUUCCAGGCUCCAAUUCUCGGAGACUCUCGGAGACUCGAGGGCAGUUUACAUACAGGUCAGACACGCUGGAGGCCAAGGUCAAGUUGAAAGUUGCUGUCUAGUCAGCGUGAGAAACUACAAUGAAAGCCCAGAGACAGAGCCGACUGCCCACCUCCCCUCG